AAAAUAUUGAACUCUGGCUUUUUUUUUUUUUGUUCAAAGAGAAUUCCUUUCCAGAAAUCAAAUGUUUUAUUAUUUAUGUUUAAAAAUAGAGAAAAGUUUUGGUAGGGUUUUUAUGAUAGGCUCCUGGAUUAUUAUUUAUAGUAGUCUGCUAUUUUUUUUCCCCUCUCAACGCUUCUGUAAUUAUAUAAUCAUCACCAACUUGCUCAUAAGAUCUGAAUUGAUGUGCAGUUCCCUGGGGAAGAUGAUAUAUGGCUGUGGUGAUUUGAUUUUUUCAUCACACAUUAUUUUUACGUUAUUAUUUGUUCUGACAUGGAAGAAAUAAGGCACAAUAAGAUGUUACUGGGGUUCUAUGCGAGCUCCAGCUAAUUAUAAAGAAGGUGAAUGUGUCCCCUUGACAAGGUAUAGGUGGAGGCCGAGGGGUUGACUUCAUUAGGUAACUGUGGGCUUUAUAUUGAUGGACUUGAAAUAAUUAUGCACGAAAUCAUUUGUUAUGUUCUAAGCUCUUGCAGCUUUAAUACCAUUACCUUUGUUUUCUAUGUAAUGAACAUAUUUCUUAAUAAAUUUGUA